rnacentral:rRNA from 1 species
CGAUAUCCGAGUUUGAUCAUGGCUCAGAACGAACGCUGGCGGCAUGCCUAACACAUGCAAGUCGAACGAAGGCUUCGGCCUUAGUGGCGCACGGGUGCGUAACGCGUGGGAAUCUGCCCUUGGGUUCGGAAUAACUCAGAGAAAUUUGAGCUAAUACCGGAUGAUGACGUAAGUCCAAAGAUUUAUCGCCCAAGGAUGAGCCCGCGUAAGAUUAGCUAGUUGGUGGGUAAAGGCCUACCAAGGCGACGAUCUUUAGCUGGUCUGAGAGGAUGAUCAGCCACACUGGGACUGAGACACGGCCCAGACUCCUACGGGAGGCAGCAGUGGGGAAUAUUGGACAAUGGGCGAAAGCCUGAUCCAGCAAUGCCGCGUGAGUGAUGAAGGCCUUAGGGUGUAAAGCUCUUUUACCAGGGAUGAUAAUGACAGUACCUGGAGAAUAAGCUCCGGCUAACUCCGUG